rnacentral:tRNA from 1 species
GGCUUCGUGGCGGAGUGGCUACGCAGAGGACUGCAAAUCCUCUUACCCCUGGUUCGAAUCCGGGCGAAGCCU